rnacentral:ribozyme from 1 species
GUUUGCUUUUUUUUUUUGAAAUUUUGAAUUUUUUUUUUUUGUUUUUUGUUUUUUUUUUUUGAAAAGAGGUGUAUUAAAAAGACCACUUGUUCAAACAAUCGUACGUUCAAUUGAUUAUUUUAUUUUUAUUUAAGUUGAAUUGGAUGAAGAUUAGCUUGGGUAAAAACAAAAAAAGAAAAAAAACAGUUUAAAAUCGUUUGUGUU